AACCUCCGCAAUGUGAGAAAUCGCGACGGGGGGAUUCCAAGUGCCAUUCUUAACGGGAUGGCUUUUCAUUAGUGUAAAGAGCUUUUGGAAUAAGAGCUGGGCAAGACCGGUGCCAGCCGCCGCGGUAACACCGGCAGCUCUAGUGGUAGCAGUUUUUAUUGGGCCUAAAGCGUCCGUAGCCGGUUUAAUAAGUCUCUGGUGAAAUCCUGUAGCUUAACUGUGGGAAUUGCUGGAGAUACUAUUAGACUUGAGAUCGGGAGAGGUUAGAGGUACUCCCAGGGUAGAGGUGAAAUUCUGUAAUCCUGGGAGGACCGCCUGUUGCGAAGGCUUCUAACUGGAACGAUUCUGACGGUGAGGGACGAAAGUUAGGGGCGCGAACCGGAUUAGAUACCCGGGUAGUCCUAACUGUAAACGAUGCGGACUUGGUGUUGGGGUGGCUUUGAGCUGCUCCAGUGCUGAAGGGAAGCUGUUAAGUCCGCCGCCUGGGAAGUACGGUCGCAAGACUGAAACUUAAAGGAAUU
rnacentral:rRNA from 1 species